GACGAACGCUGGCGGCGUGCCUAAUACAUGCAAGUAGAACGCUGAAGGAGGAGCUUGCUUCUCUGGAUGAGUUGCGAACGGGUGAGUAACGCGUAGGUAACCUGCCUGGUAGCGGGGGAUAACUAUUGGAAACGAUAGCUAAUACCGCAUAAUAGUAGAUGUUGCAUGACAUUUGCUUAAAAGGUGCAAUUGCAUCACUACCAGAUGGACCUGCGUUGUAUUAGCUAGUUGGUGAGGUAACGGCUCACCAAGGCGACGAUACAUAGCCGACCUGAGAGGGUGAUCGGCCACACUGGGACUGAGACACGGCCCCGAAUCCUACGGGAGGCAGCAGUAGGGGAUCUUCGGCAAUGGACGGAAGUCUGACCGAGCAACGCCGCGUGAGUGAAGAAGGUUUUCGGAUCGUAAAGCUCUGUUGUAAGAGAAGAACGAGUGUGAGAGUGGAAAGUUCACACUGUGACGGCAUCUUAACAGAAAGAGACGGCUAACUACGUG
rnacentral:rRNA from 1 species